AUACUUACCUGGCAGUGGAGAUACCAUGAUCACAAAGGUGACUUUCCCAGGGUGAAGCUUAUCCAUUGCACUCCGGAUGUGCUAACUUCUGCAGUUUCCCCAAAAUGUGGGAAACUCGACUAUAUAAUUUGUGUUAGUGGGGUACUGUGUUUGUGUUCUUCCCUG